rnacentral:tRNA from 1 species
GCGCGCUUAGCUCAGCGGUAGAGCGUCUCCUUUACACGGAGAGGGUCGGGAGUUCAAGUCUCUCAGCGCGUACCA